rnacentral:rRNA from 1 species
UACGUAGGGUGCAAGCGUUAAUCGGAAUUACUGGGCGUAAAGCGUGCGCAGGCGGCUUCUCAAGUCAGGGGUGAAAGCCCAGAGCUCAACUCUGGAACUGCCUUUGAGACUGAGAGGCUUGAGUACGGGAGAGGUGAGUGGAAUUCCCAGUGUAGAGGUGAAAUUCGUAGAUAUUGGGAGGAACACCGGUGGCGAAGGCGGCUCACUGGCCCGUAACUGACGCUCAUGCACGACAGCGUGGGGAUCGAACAGG